CCUACGGGAGGCAGCAGUGGGGAAUUUUGGACAAUGGACGCAAGUCUGAUCCAGCAAUGCCGCGUGCAGGACGAAGGCCUUCGGGUUGUAAACUGCUUUUGUACGGAACGAAACGGUCUGCUUUAAUACAGUGGGCUAAUGACGGUACCGUAAGAAUAAGCACCGGCUAACUACGUGCCAGCAGCCGCGGUAAUACGUAGGGUGCGAGCGUUAAUCGGAAUUACUGGGCGUAAAGCGUGCGCAGGCGGUUAUAUAAGUCAGAUGUGAAAUCCCCGGGCUCAACCUGGGACCUGCAUUUGAGACUGUAUAGCUAGAGUACGGUAGAGGGGGAUGGAAUUCCGCGUGUAGCAGUGAAAUGCGUAGAUAUGCGGAGGAACACCGAUGGCGAAGGCAAUCCCCUGGACCUGUACUGACGCUCAUGCACGAAAGCGUGGGGAGCAAACAGGAUUAGAUACCCUGGUAGUCCACGCCCUAAACGAUGUCAACUGGUUGUCGGGUCUUCACUGACUCAGUAACGAAGCUAACGCGUGAAGUUGACCGCCUGGGGAGUACGGCCGCAAGGUUGAAACUCAAAAGAGUAGUAGGCGNGNGAGAGCGACGACGACGACACGGAGGGAGGAG
rnacentral:rRNA from 1 species